rnacentral:tRNA from 2 species
UCUUUAGUAGCUCAGAGGUAGAGCAAAUGGCUGUUAACCAUAAGGUCGUUGGUUCGAUUCCAACCUAAAGAG